rnacentral:rRNA from 1 species
AGCAGCCGUGGUAAUUCCAGCUCCAAUAGCGUAUAUUAAAGUUGUUGCAGUUAAAAAGCUCGUAGUUGAAUUUCGGGAUCAAUACGUCGGUCGUGCUUUCGGGUACGUACUGGCGUCAUUGGUUUCUCCUUUCUGACGAACCAUGAUAUCAUUAAUUUGGUGUUAUGGGGAGUUAGGACUGUUACUUUGAAAAAAUUAGAGUGUUUAAAGCAGGCAUUAGCUUGAAUACAUUAGCAUGGAAUAAUGAAAUAGGACGUUCGAUCCUAUUUUGUUGGUUUCUAGGAUCAACGUAAUGAUUAAUAGGGAUAGUUGGGGGCAUUAGUAUUCAAUUGUCAGAGGUGAAAUUCUUGGAUUUAUUGAAGACUAACUACUGCGAAAGCAUUUGCCAAGGAUGUUUUCAUUAAUCAAGAACGAAAGUUAGGGGAUCGAAGACGAUUAGAUACCGUCGUA